AUGAACGCUGGCGGCGUGCCUAAUACAUGCAAGUCGAGCGAACAGACGAGGAGCUUGCUCCUCUGACGUUAGCGGCGGACGGGUGAGUAACACGUGGAUAACCUACCUAUAAGACUGGGAUAACUUCGGGAAACCGGAGCUAAUACCGGAUAAUAUAUUGAACCGCAUGGUUCAAUAGUGAAAGACGGUUUUGCUGUCACUUAUAGAUGGAUCCGCGCCGCAUUAGCUAGUUGGUAAGGUAACGGCUUACCAAGGCAACGAUGCGUAGCCGACCUGAGAGGGUGAUCGGCCACACUGGAACUGAGACACGGUCCAGACUCCUACGGUGGGCAGCAGUAGGGAAUCUUCCGCAAUGGGCGAAAGCUUGACGGAGCAACGCCGCGUGAGUGAUGAAGGUCUUCGGAUCGUAAAACUCUGUUAUUAGGGAAGAACAAAUGUGUAAGUAACUAUGCACGUCUUGACGGUACCUAAUCAGAAAGCCACGGCUAACUACGUG
rnacentral:rRNA from 1 species